rnacentral:rRNA from 1 species
UACGUAGGGUGCAAGCGUUUAAUCGGAAUUACUGGGCGUAAAGCGUGCGCAGGCGGUUAUGCAAGACAGAUGUGAAAUCCCCGGGCUUAACCUGGGAACUGCAUUUGUGACUGCAUAGCUAGAGUACGGUAGAGGGGGAUGGAAUUCCGCGUGUAGCGGUGAAAUGCGUAGAUAUGCGGAGGAACACCGAUGGCGAAGGCAGUCCCCUGGACCUGUACUGACGCUCAUGCACGAAAGGCGUGGGGAGCAGAACGAUGACGUAACCGAACCGUAGUCAGUCC